CCUACGGGGGGCAGCAGUGAGGAAUAUUGGUCAAUGGACGAGAGCCUGAACCAGCCAAGUAGCGUGAAGGAUGACUGCCCUAUGGGUUGUAACCUUCUUUUAUAUGGGAAUAAAAUGUUCCACGUGUGGGAUUUUGUAUGUACCAUAUGAAUAAGGAUCGGCUAACUCCGUGCCAGCAGCCGCGGUAAUACGGAGGAUCCGAGCGUUAUCCGGAUUUAUUGGGUUUAAAGGGAGCGUAGGUGGAUUGUUAAGUCAGUUGUGAAAGUUUACGGCUCAACCGUAAAAUUGCAGUUGAAACUGGGAGUCUUGAGUACUGUAGAGGUGGGCGGAAUUCGGGGUGUAGCGGUGAAAUGCUUAGAUAUCACGAAGAACUCCGAUUGCGAAGGCAGCUCACUGGACUGCAACUGACACUGAGGCGCGAAAGUGUGGGUAUCAAACAGGAUUAGAUACCCGUGUAGUC
rnacentral:rRNA from 1 species